rnacentral:rRNA from 1 species
AUUGAACGCUGGCGGCAGGCCUAACACAUGCAAGUCGAACGGUAACAGGAAGAAGCUUGCUUCUUUGCUGACGAGUGGCGGACGGGUGAGUAAUGUCUGGGAAACUGCCUGAUGGAGGGGGAUAACUACUGGAAACGGUAGCUAAUACCGCAUAAUGUCGCAAGCCCAAAGAGGGGGACCUUCGGGCCUCUUGCCAUCGGAUGUGCCCAGAUGGGAUUAGCUAGUAGGUGGGGUAACGGCUCACCUAGGCGACGAUCCCUAGCUGGUCUGAGAGGAUGACCAGCCACACUGGAACUGAGACACGGUCCAGACUCCUACGGGAGGCAGCAGUGGGGAAUAUUGCACAAUGGGCGCAAGCCUGAUGCAGCUAUGCCGCGUGUAUGAAGAAGGCCUUCGGGUUGUAAAGUACUUUCAGCGGGGAGGAAGGGAGUAAAGUUAAUACCUUUGCUCAUUGACGUUACCCGCAGAAGAAGCACCGGCUAACUCCGUG